AACAGAUCAUGCAUCAUACAGCAGUCAGCAGAGCAGGCACGUCGCGAUCGCUGAAGAAGCAGCAGCAGCUAGAGUAGAGCUAAUCUGCCACGACACACGACUCGUGCUCAUGCAUGCAGCGGCGCAGGAGGUGGAGGUGCAUCCACGCGCGGCGGAACGCGGCGACGAUUGCGCGGUGGUGGUCGGCGGCGUUGAGCGCGAGGUAGCAGGCGAGGAGCUCCUCCAGGCCCCGCGGCGACCGCACGCCGUUGGCCGUGGCCAUCUCCGCCAUGCUCUCCAGGAAGUCCUCCUCGGGGUCCGCCGACUCCACCACCACCACCAGGCCCUCGUACGCCUGCCGGAGCCCGCUGGCACGCCGCGUGCAGGCCUCCUCCUCCGCCUUGUUCCGCCUGCGGCGGUCCGGCGUGGCGGCGUGGUGGAACCCUGGGGGUGGGCGCACCCUGCCCGUGGGAGACACGGCCGCGCCGCCGCCGCCGUCGGGCCUGGGAGGCGGCCUCGUGAGGAUGGGCCGUAGCUUGAGCUCCGGCGCCGGGCUGGAGCGGGCGACGACGUCGAAGACAUUGUCGCUCGCCUGCGGGCUGCGCGGGAACUGCGUGUCCCGGAGCUUGGGGUUGUUGUCCGGGCGGCGCGGGACGGCGCGGUCCCGGCUCGGCACGUAGUAGGACGCCCUGUUCGGCGAGCAGGGUGGUGGCGGCGGGGGUUCGGCGGCGGCGGCGUUCGCGAUCGCCCCUGCCCCGGCUCUCUUGCGCCGCAGCCUGUGGAAGUGGAACCAGGAGUUCAUCCUCCACUAACUGAAACCGCCAGUGGCAGUGGCAGCGCCAGCGACUACAGCCUUGACUAGCAGUGACUAGCGCGCUUUUUAUGGCGGAAAAGUUUGCCGCCGUCUUUGCCUGCAUGUUUGCUAUGUUGGUUGAUAGUAAUGAUAAUUACACUGUAAUUUUCACUGCUCCAAUUACACUGUAG
rnacentral:misc_RNA from 1 species